GACGAACGCUGGCGGCGUGCUUAACACAUGCAAGUCGAACGGAAAGGCCCUGCUUUUGUGGGGUGCUCGAGUGGCGAACGGGUGAGUAACACGUGAGUAACCUGCCCUUGACUUUGGGAUAACUUCAGGAAACUGGGGCUAAUACCGGAUAGGAGCUCCUGCUGCAUGGUGGGGGUUGGAAAGUUUCGGCGGUUGGGGAUGGACUCGCGGCUUAUCAGCUUGUUGGUGGGGUAGUGGCUUACCAAGGCUUUGACGGGAAGCCGGCCUGAGGGGGUGACCGGCCACAUUGGGACUGAGAUACGGCCCAGACUCCUACGGGAGGCAGCAGUGGGGAAUAUUGCACAAUGGGCGGAAGCCUGAUGCAGCAACGCCGCGUGCGGGAUGACGGCCUUCGGGUUGUAAACCGCUUUCGCCUGUGACGAAGCGUGAGUGACGGUAAUGGGUAAAGAAGCACCGGCUAACUACGUG
rnacentral:rRNA from 1 species